rnacentral:rRNA from 1 species
GGGACACGUGGUAUCCUGUCUGAAUAUGGGGGGACCAUCCUCCAAGGCUAAAUACUCCUGACUGACCGAUAGUGAACCAGUACCGUGAGGGAAAGGCGAAAAGAACCCCGGCGAGGGGAGUGAAAAAGAACCUGAAACCGUGUACGUACAAGCAGUGGGAGCACAGGUUUACCUGUGUGACUGCGUACCUUUUGUAUAAUGGGUCAGCGACUUAUAUUCUGUAGCAAGGUUAACCGUAUAGGGGAGCCGSAGGGAAACCGAGUCUUAACCGGGCGUUAAGUUGCAGGGUAUAGACCCGAAACCCGGUGAUCUAGCCAUGGGCAGGUUGAAGGUUGGGUAACACUAACUGGAGGACCGAACCGACUAAUGUUGAAAAAUUAGCGGAUGACCUGUGGCUGGGGGUGAAAGGCCAAUCAAACCGGGAGAUAGCUGGUUCUCCCCGAAAGCUAUUUAGGUAGCGCCUCGUGAACUCAUCUYCGGGGGUAGAGCACUGUUUCGGCUAGGGGGCCAUCCCGGCUUACCAACCCGAUGCAAACUGCGAAUACCGGAGAAUGUUAUCACGGGAGACACACGGCGGGUGCUAACGUCCGUCGUGAAGAGGGAAACAACCCAGACCGCCAGCUAAGGUCCCAAAGUCAUGGUUAAGUGGGAAACGAUGUGGGAAGGCCCAGACAGCCAGGAUGUUGGCUUAGAAGCAGCCAUCAUUUAAAGA